AUGACUCUACGAGAUGCUGCCCGUGCUGCCUGCGUAUCUCAUGCCUUUCGAAGUUCUCGGAAAUGCUAUCCCAACCUUAUCUUUAAUAUUCAAACAAUAGUGUUGCCGAAUGGCAUGGAUUUCACCUACAGAGUUGAUUACAUUUUGAAAAACCACUCGGGCAUUGGCGUGAAGACAUUCGAGCUUGAUUUAUCCUGUUGCUACAACCCCAAUGUCUAUAGAUAUCUCCAUAGGUGGCUUAAUAAGAUAGUGGUUACACCUGGCAUUGAAAAACUUACCCUUGUGAUGCCUGAGAGGGAGGCAGUCAGCUCCCCUUGCCAUGUUUUGUUUAAUAGGGAUGGAAGCUCGAUGUGGUAUCUUCACCUUGCUUACUGUGCCUUCCAUCCUACAGUCAGUCCUGGUUGCUUGAGAUUGACAUGCCUGACGGUGCUGCAUCUCGAGUGUGUGAGAAUUACAGGGGACGAGUUAGGGUACGUUUUUUCCAGCUGCGUUGCUUUGGAGCGACUGGAACUCUCGAGAUGCUUCGAUAUAACUUGCUUGAAGAUACCUUUCCAGCUGCAGCGGCUCAGCAACCUGCAAGUGUUAAUUUGCCCCAAACUGCGGAUGAUAAAGAUCGAAGCUCCAAAUAUUUAUAGGUUUCGCUUUAUUACAUUUGGCCAAGUAGAGGUCUCACUUGGAUAA
rnacentral:rRNA from 1 species